CCUUCAGAAUGCCAGCCUGGGAAUCCAAACCCAAAUCUGAAAGAUUAAGUGUCUGGCACUGAGUAAUGAAAAUGGCCCAACUCGAGGGCUCCAUGCAUUUGAAAAUCUCACUGCACGCAAGUGGAUAACACUACAAACAAUC